rnacentral:rRNA from 1 species
UACGUAGGCAGCGAGCGUUGUUCGGAGUUACUGGGCGUAAAGGGUGUGUAGGCGGUUGCUUAAGUUUGGUGUGAAAUCUCCCGGCUCAACCGGGAGGGUGCGCCGAAUACUGAGUGACUAGAGUGCGGGAGAGGAAAGUGGAAUUCCUGGUGUAGCGGUGAAAUGCGUAGAUAUCAGGAGGAACACCGGUGGUGUAGACGGCUUUCUGGACCGUAACUGACGCUGAGACACGAAAGCGUGGGCAGCAAACAGG